rnacentral:rRNA from 1 species
CUACGGGGGGCAGCAGUGGGGAAUAUUGCACAAUGGGCUCAAGCCUGAUGCAGCAACGCCGUGUGAGUGAAGAAGGCCUUCGGGUUGUAAAACUCUGUCCUAAGGGAAGAAACAAAUGACGGUACCUUAGGAGGAAGCCCCGGCUAACUACGUGCCAGCAGCCGCGGUAAUACGUAGGGGGCAAGCGUUAUCCGGAAUCACUGGGCGUAAAUGGUGCGUAGGCGGCCUAUCAAGUCAGAAGUGAAAGGCAUUGGCUCAACCAAUGUAAGCUUUUGAAACUGUUGGGCUUGAGUGCAGGAGAGGUAAGUGGAAUUCCUAGUGUAGAGGUGAAAUUCGUAGAUAUUAGGAGGAACACCAGUGGCGAAGGCGACUUACUGGACUGUAACUGACGCUGAGGCACGAAAGCGUGGGGAGCGAACAGGAUUAGAUACCCUGGUAGUC